rnacentral:lncRNA from 1 species
AAUAUAUGUAUAUCUGUUUUGCAAAAAAAUUUUUCUAGUGUAUUUAUUUAUUUAAAAAUAUUUAUUUAUUUACUUAAUAUAUGAGAGCACACUUGCUAUCUUCAGACACAUCAGAAGAGGACAUUGGAUCCCAUUACAGAUGGUUGUGAGCCACCUUGUGGUUACUGGGAAUUGAACUCAGGACCUCCAGAAGAUCAAUCAGUGUUCUUAACCGCUGAGCCGUGUCUCUAGUGUUUAUUUUUGCAAACUCUUUUGGGGGCUGGUUUUUUAAAAAAUUUUAAAAAAUUUUUAAAAAAUAGUCUAUUUAGUUCUGGCUGGCCUGGAACUCGCCAUGUAGAACAACAGGCUGACCUCAGAUUUAGAGUUCUGCCUACUAAGAGCUAGGAUUAAAGGUGUGCUUAUAAUUUAUAUGUAUAAUUAUAAAAAUAAAGCCACAGCCAGCUACAAUUUUGCAUAAUCUUAAUAGUGUGUUUUUGAGAAAAGAAAGUUUUAAUUUUGAAGAAUUAUGAUUUGUCUUCUUUAAAAAUUACUUACGUUUUGGGAAUACAUUUCUAGAAACUUUGGUUUAUUAUUCCAAGGAUAUGAAAGUUUGCCUUUAUAUUUUCUUCAGAAACUCUUAAUAGUUUUUUAAUAGCAUAUAACUUGGUAUAAAUAAUGUCUUAUUUUGUUUUUAAUAUUGACAUAAGAUAAAGGCUCCUUUUUCAUCUUUCAUCAUUUGUUGAAAAGAUGUGUUUUUUUUUUUUAAUUGCCUUUUAAUCUCUAAGAGUUACCUUUUGUUUUGUUUUGUUUUGUUUUGUUUUGUUUUGUUUUGCUACUGGAGCAAAAUGCCUGAGGAGAGCAACCUACCUAAGGAAAGGUUUCUUUGGCUCUUUGAGAGGAUGCAGUGUGCUGCCCUGCAGAAGGCAUGGCAGCAGGAAUAUCACAGCAGGAGUCUCACUUCCUGGGAGAACAGGCUGACAAAGUAGACAGGAAGUAAGAUUGGGCUCUGACACCUCAUGGCCUGCCUUUCCCAGUGGUCCAAUGCUCCAGGGAGGGUCCCCUUCAUAAAGGUUCCACACCUUUCCAAAGCAGUGGCACCUGGUGGGGACCAAGAGUUAACGCAUUUGAGCCUAGAAAGGACAUAUAUUUUCAAUCCACUGGUGUUAAGUUCACCAGAAGUCAAUUAAUGCUCUGGUGUUGGUUGGUUUCUUUGGUAUUCUCUUUCUCACUAGGGGGCUCCCUUGGCUGUUUUCCAGUCACAAACAUGGGACUUAAAACGGGACAGGGUAUUUUCCGUGACUGCUCAAUUCUGGAGUAGAAGGACAAGGGAAAAGACAACAGAUGGUUUACCCCUGUUUGGGUGUCAGAGAGAAAGUUUCUGUUCCUUAGACCUACAGAUGAGCAUUGUCCCUGCCCGCCUUGCUUUGAGAGUGCCUCAGCCCGGGAAGAGAAUAAAAAGGAGAGGAAACUUGGGCCAUGGAAAUCCCCUCCUUAGCUCUCCAGCCAGAGCUUAGAACCUGGGUCUGGACAUGGGAUAUGCUCUUCUAGCUGGGCUGCCUUGUCUGGCCUUGGUGGGAGAGGAUGUGCCUAGUGUCACAGAGACUUGAUGUACCAGGGUGGGAGGAUAUGCAGGUGUGGGAGGGGGUGGCCUUACCUGCUCAGAGGAGAAGGGGAGGGGUGUGGACUGAGGUAUUAUAGAACGGGAUGACUGGGAGGGGCCCGUGAGUGGGAUGUGAAGUGAAUAAGUAAAAUAAUAAUAAUAAAAAACAAUUAUUUGAAUUAAAAAAAGUACCAGCAUAAUGGAAAUAUAAGAAAAUAAAAGUAUUUCCCCAUCAAACU